rnacentral:rRNA from 1 species
GACAGAGGGUGCAAACGUUGUUCGGAAUUACUGGGCGUAAAGCGCACGUAGGCGGCUUUCUAAGUCGGGGGUGAAAUCCUGGAGCUCAACUCCAGAACUGCCUUCGAUACUGGAAAGCUCGAGUCCGGGAGAGGUGAGUGGAACUGCGAGUGUAGAGGUGAAAUUCGUAGAUAUUGGGAAGAACACCAGUGGCGAAGGCGGCUCACUGGCCCGUAACUGACGCUGAGGUGCGAAAGCGUGGGGAGCAAACAGG